rnacentral:rRNA from 1 species
UCAUGAAAUGACUCUCGGCAACGGAUAUCUCGGCUCUUGCAUCGAUGAAGAACGUAGCGAAAUGCGAUACUUGGUGUGAAUUGCAGAAUCCCGUGAACCAUCGAGUCUUUGAACGCAAGUUGCGCCUGAAGCCAUUAGGUUGAGGGCACGCCUGCCUGGGUGUCACAC